rnacentral:lncRNA from 1 species
CCCAUCCAUCUUCCCAAAACACAUCAUUCUGAGAUCCACCCCCGAAACCCCAGGGUGGACCCCUGUUGCUCUAAGACCACUUUCUUGCACUGUGUCUCCGCCCGAAAUACUCCCAAAUGUUCUCUCUCACAGGACACUUCCUGACCCUCUUCCUCAGCCCCCAGCUCCUCCCAGGAAAGAGCCAGCCUCCCAAAUGUCAUGCUCAGGUCCCCAUGAGCAUCCUAUAACGACCCCACUAGACCCUAGGCCCUCCUCUGUGUUCCAACACCUCCCAACUCCCUCCUCCACAGACUCUCCCAAAGAUACCCUCCCAGGCACCCCAUGAUGUGCACCCCGCCCUGGAACUCUCACAGGCUCUCCGGAACCCACUCCCCAAGACCAUUCCCUGGACACCAUACUAUCAAGCAAGACUUGGACAUCAGUGGGUAGUGAUACUCUUAAGGGCUUCCCAGUCCACUGCAGUCAUGGGGCAGAUGCCCCAGGCAAGGAGCUUCACCUGGACACUGGCUCUCUCACUCGCCCCAGCACAGGCACCCAGGGCCCAUGUGUCCCAGGCUAUGCAUCCCCAUCUCCCUCCAUUCCAUUAAAAGUCCAUCUCUCA